rnacentral:rRNA from 1 species
UACGAACUGUGCGAACGUUAUUCGGAAUCACUGGGCUUACAGGGUGCGUAGGCGGCUUGUUAAGUAGGGUGUGAAAGCCCCCGGCUCAACCGGGGAAUAGCGCCCUAAACUGGCGAGCUAGAGUGAGAUAGGGGUGUGUGGAACUUCCGGUGGAGCGGUGAAAUGUGUUGAUAUCGGAAGGAACGCCGGUGGCGAAAGCGACACACUGGAUCUUGUCUGACGCUGAGGCACGAAAGCCAGGGGAGCGAACGGGG